UGCUCGGCGAGGCCGUGGACACGUGCGGAGGUCGAACUGACACUCACAGCCCCCGCAGGAGGCCCGACGCGACCCGGCCCCGCAGGUGCGAUGCUUGUGGACUGAGACGCGCUCGGGCAGAGACUAUGUAAUCAUCUCCGUGUCUGUGCAGAAGACUUCUCUUCGGGGAGGGAAGAGGAGGGAUCGGCUCGCUCCUCCGGCGGCAGUGGCGGCGACUCCGCAGGCGGAGUUUCGCGGCGGCACCAGGGUUGCGCCAGCCCCGCGGGGAGGUCGCUCCAUACAGCCUCUGCGGUCGCGAGAGCCCCAGCGCCCGAGCGCCUGAGCCGGCUGGGGACGAAGGAGCGCGAGACCGAGCUCCCGGGAUCCCCGGAGGGGACGAGCGGCGGCCGCGACCAAAUCGAGCGCACCCCCCGCUCGCCCCAGCGGCGCCGUGCCGGGCGGCGUCCAGGCGGCAUGGAGAAGGACGGCCUGAGCCGCGCCGACCAGCAGUACGAGUGCGUGGCGGAGAUCGGGGAGGGCGCCUAUGGGAAGGUGUUCAAGGCCCGCGACUUGAAGAACGGAGGCCGUUUCGUGGCGCUGAAGCGCGUGCGGGUGCAGACGGGCGAGGAAGGCAUGCCGCUCUCCACCAUCCGCGAGGUGGCGGUGCUGAGACACCUGGAGACCUUCGAGCACCCCAACGUGGUCAGGUGAGUCGAGAGCUGCG